rnacentral:rRNA from 1 species
GACGAACGCAGGCGGCGUGCUUAACACAUGCAAGUCGAACGGUGAAGCUCCAGCUUGCUGGAGUGGAUCAGUGGCGAACGGGUGAGUAACACGUGAGCAACCUGCCCCUGACUCUGGAAUAAGCGCUGGAAACGGCGUCUAAUACUGGAUACGAGAAGGGUCCGCAUGGGCACUUUCUGGAAAGUUUUUCGGUUGGGGAUGGGCUCGCGGCCUAUCAGCUUGUUGGUGAGGUAAUGGCUCACCAAGGCGACGACGGGUAGCCGGCCUGAGAGGGCGACCGGCCACACUGGGACUGAGACACGGCCCAGACUCCUACGGGAGGCAGCAGUGGGGAAUAUUGCACAAUGGGCGAAAGCCUGAUGCAGCGACGCCGCGUGAGGGAUGACGGCCUUCGGGUUGUAAACCUCUUUCAGCAGGGAAGAAGCGAAAGUGACGGUACCUGCAGAAGAAGCACCGGCUAACUACGUG